UAAAUUUUUUCUCAUGUUCUCGCACCCUGAGCAUCAAUGAAAUUUGGAAGCUGUGUAGAGUUUUCCAAUCUAUCAUUGCUAGGCCAUCUCCUUUUCUCCUCCUGCCUUCCUUAUCCGCCUACUGAUUUGAUCUUGUGAAAGUGCUUGAAAUCCUUUUCUUUAAUGCUUAUUUGGGCCCCUGGAUCUAGAGUCCGCUCAACUAUUGUGCAGUCUCUCUUACGCAUUUUAAACACAAAUUUGAUGCCAAAAUACAUUAUUUAAAAAUUGCAUUGCAGGCUGAGAGUGCGACUGGUGCCCUCCACUUAAGUGGCUCGAUACUGGGAUCCUUGCCGAUAAGGGUAAGCCCGUCAAAGACACCUGUGCGGCCACGGGGUCCUCGCCAACCCAUGCAUUGAAACUUUUAGGUCCAUGACAUGGCUGAUAGCACUCUUAUAUAUAUACACAUAAUAUAAAGGAAUUUUAAGGUAUAUCUCUUUUGGUUUAUAAGUUGUUUCUAUGUAUUUUUUUUUUACGUUUUGUACCUUUGGCAUAUCUUUCUAUGUCUAGGGGGAUGGAUUGUUCUUUUCUGGCACAUAGAGUUGGUUGGGACGUCGAGGCUUUGGACAUUUAUGAGUAGGCAAUGGAACAAAUAUCCCCCGGAUAUCUAUGAAAGAAACUGUUUCAGUUGUCCGAAAAUCUUGCUGACUCUAUAACCCUUGAGUUCUUGCUGGAAGAAGCUUUUCUGGUUGCUUCUCAUCUAUUACUUCUAUAGAUUAUGAAAGGAAAGCUUGCAUCCUGCUACACCUACCGGCUUUGAAGUUCAUGAACUUUCCCUGGAUAAAUUUUUACGUAUCUAUGAAGAAUACCCUCUCCUCAGGCAUUGUGGAUUAAUUUAUAUACCUAUUUCACGAUUAGGGACCUCAUCAGUGUGAGAAUAUUGUUACCGAUCGCUGAUCGCUGACCUCAUCAAUGCUUAAUGUUGAAUGAAUUCUGGUAUUGGUCAGAAAUUGCCACCUGUCAUGAUUCACAUAUAGGUUAAAGCUUAACAGUUAUGGAACCAAAAGGAAUUCAAUAAAAUUUGCAACCCUAGUUUUGAAUCCGUUCUGGUGUUCUUGGUCUCUACUGCAAAAAAGGAUCAAGAGAGAACUGAGAAUAAUAGUACCAUGCAGCUGUUGGAAUUUUUGAGAAAUGGCUCAGGCUAUUUAGUUAGGUUCUAAACAUUAAUCCUCAGAUCCUGUAUCAAGGACCUUGUUCUUGAACAUGUAAAUGUAAAGGAAAAAAAGGAGAAAAAAGAAAGAAAGAAAGAAGAAAAG